rnacentral:rRNA from 2 species
UUNGGGAUAAGCCUGANCGGAAACUGGGUCUAAUACCNAAUAGGACCNCNCGCUUCNUGGUGUGUGGUGGAAAGCUUUUGNGGUGUGGGAUGGGCCCNCGGCCUAUCAGCUUGUUGGUGGGGUAAUGGCCUACCNAGGCGACGACGGGUAGCCGGCCUGAGAGGGUGACCGGCCACACUGGGACUGAGAUACGGCCCAGACUCCUACGGGAGGCAGCAGUGGGGAAUAUUGCACAAUGGGCGCAAGCCUGAUGCAGCGACGCCGCGUGAGGGAUGACGGCCUUCCGGGUUGUAAACCUCUUUCAAUAGGGACGAAGCGCAAGUGACGGUACCUAUAGAAGAAGCACCGGCCAACUACGUGCCAGCAGCCGCGGUAAUACGUAGGGUGCGAGCGUUGUCCGGAAUUACUGGGCGUAAAGAGCUCGUAGGUGGUUUGUCGCGUUGUUCGUGAAAACUCACAGCUUAACUGUGGGCGUGCGGGCGAUACGGGCAGACUAGAGUACUGCAGGGGAGACUGGAAUUCCUGGUGUAGCGGUGGAAUGCGCAGAUAUCAGGAGGAACACCGGUGGCGAAGGCGGGUCUCUGGGCAGUAACUGACGCUGAGGAGCGAAAGCGUGGGGAGCGAACAGGAUUAGAUACCCUGGUAGUCCACGCCGUAAACGGUGGGUACUAGGUGUGGGUUCCUUCCUUGGGAUCCGUGCCGUAGCUAACGCAUUAAGUACCCCGCCUGGGGAGUACGGCCGCAAGGGCUAAAACUCAAAGGAAUUGACGGGGGCCCGCACAAGCGGCGGAGCAUGUGGAUUAAUUCGAUGCAACGCGAAGAACCUUACCUGGGUUUGACAUGCACAGGACGCCGGCAGAGAUGUCGGUUCCCUUGUGGCCUGUGUGCAGGUGGUGCAUGGCUGUCGUCAGCUCGUGUCGUGAGAUGUUGGGUUAAGUCCCGCAACGAGCGCAACCCUUGUCCUAUGUUGCCAGCGGGUUAUGCCGGGGACUCGUAGGAGACUGCCGGGGUCAACUCGGAGGAAGGUGGGGAUGACGUCAAGUCAUCAUGCCCCUUAUGUCCAGGGCUUCACACAUGCUACAAUGGCCGGUACAAAGGGCUGCGAUGCCGUGAGGUGGAGCGAAUCCUUUCAAAGCCGGUCUCAGUUCGGAUCGGGGUCUGCAACUCGACCCCGUGAAGUCGGAGUCGCUAGUAAUCGCAGAUCAGCAACGCUGCGGUGAAUACGUUCCCGGGCCUUGUACACACCGCCCGUCACGUCAUGAAAGUCGGUAACACCCGAAGCCGGUGGCCUA